rnacentral:rRNA from 1 species
AGUGAACGCUGGCGGUAGACCUAACACAUGCAAGUCGAACGGCAGCACAGUAAGAGCUUGCUCUUACGGGUGGCGAGUGGCGGACGGGUGAGGAAUACAUCGGAAUCUACUUUUUCGUGGGGGAUAACGUAGGGAAACUUACGCUAAUACCGCAUACGACCUACGGGUGAAAGCAGGGGAUCUUCGGACCUUGCGCGAUUGAAUGAGCCGAUGUCGGAUUAGCUAGUUGGUGGGGUAAAGGCCCACCAAGGCGACGAUCCGUAGCUGGUCUGAGAGGAUGAUCAGCCACACUGGAACUGAGACACGGUCCAGACUCCUACGGGAGGCAGCAGUGGGGAAUAUUGGACAAUGGGCGCAAGCCUGAUCCAGCCAUACCGCGUGGGUGAAGAAGGCCUUCGGGUUGUAAAGCCCUUUUGUUGGGAAAGAAAAGCAGCAGGUUAAUACCCCGCUGUUCUGACGGUACCCAAAGAAUAAGCACCGGCUAACUUCGUG